CCUGUGGCUCAGUUGGUAGAGCAUGCCGCUUGCAACGCCAGGUUUGUGGGUUCGAUUCCCAUUGGG
rfam:Salmo salar isolate Sally breed double haploid chromosome ssa22, whole genome shotgun sequence.